rnacentral:snoRNA from 1 species
UAUCCUGAUGAUAAAAUGCCAUAGCGCAUGAAUAAUAACCCAGCUCGUUGAGACUGCCUCGCCUAUACAACGCUUAGAGGUGGUCAUGAAAUGAAAACUACUCUGAACAU